rnacentral:rRNA from 1 species
UACGGAGGGGACUAGCGUUGUUCGGAAUUACUGGGCGUAAAGCGCACGUAGGCGGAUUUGUAAGUCAGGGGUGAAAUUCCGGGGCCCAACCUCGGAACUGCCUUUGAUACUGCAAAUCUCGAGUCCGGAAGAGGUGAGUGGAAUUCCUAGUGUAGAGGUGAAAUUCGUAGAUAUUAGGAAGAACACCAGUGGCGAAGGCGGCUCACUGGUCCGGUACUGACGCUGAGGUGCGAAAGCGUGGGGAGCAAACAGG